rnacentral:rRNA from 1 species
UACGUAGGGUGCAAGCGUUGUCCGGAAUUAUUGGGCGUAAAGGGCGCGUAGGCGGUCUGCUAAGUUGGAUGUGAAAACUCUGGGCUUAACCCAGAGCCUGCAUUCAAUACUGACAGGCUAGAGUUCUGGAGGGGAUAGCGGAAUUCCUGGUGUAGCGGUGAAAUGCGUAGAUAUCAGGAGGAACACCGGUGGCGAAGGCGGCUAUCUGGACAGAGUCUGACGCUGAGGCGCGAAAGCUAGGGGAGCAAACAGG